GGCCACUUCUGGUAGUCCUGUUGGCAAGGGAAGAGAAACACUGGCCUAGAGGCUCUAGCAACAGAGCUUUGAGUUUACAGGAAGACUCUGAGAAUGGAACUCUUGGUUCAAGACAGAAUUGAGGAAAGGAGCAUCAAAAGAGGGUAUACUGGAUAUUGGAUGGCUUAAGGAGUCAAAGCUACCACCUAAGGGCUCGUAACCUUGUUGAAGACGCUUCCUGGGAGAAUAAAGCAUGCAAUCCUAGUUAUAUGUGCAUGCAGCAGAGAACUCUACUGAAAUGGAGUUUUAAAAAAGAUUAAUAAAGCUUGAAAUGGGGCGAUAGAUAUUUCAGUAUUUGAGUGACAACAAAAAUGGAUGUGUGUAUAAAUCAGAUAUAGAUUUCUCUCCUGAGACAUGACUCAAUGUACUGUAUUGAAAAGGUAUUAUAAUUAGCUCAAAAAACAGUAAAUUUCUGUUACAGAAAGAAACCUUCAUCUAGUAACGUACUGUUGUG
rnacentral:lncRNA from 1 species